rnacentral:rRNA from 1 species
UACGGAGGGUGCAAGCGUUGCUCGGAAUGAUUGGGCGUAAAGCGUCCGCAGGUGGCAGUUCAAGUCUGCUGUCAAAGACCGGGGCUUAACUUCGGAAAGGCAGUGGAAACUGAACAGCUAGAGUAUGGUAGGGGCAGAGGGAAUUCCUGGUGUAGCGGUGAAAUGCGUAGGGAUCAGGAAGAACAUCGGUGGCGAAGGCGCUCUGCUGGACCAUAACUGACACUCAGGGACGAAAGCUAGGGGAGCGAAUGGG